GAUGAACGCUGGCGGCGUGCCUAAUACAUGCAAGUCGAGCGAACAGACGAGGAGCUUGCUCCUUUGACGUUAGCGGCGGACGGGUGAGUAACACGUGGGUAACCUACCUAUAAGACUGGGAUAACUUCGGGAAACCGGAGCUAAUACCGGAUAAUAUUUCGAACCGCAUGGUUCGAUAGUGAAAGAUGGCUUUGCUAUCACUUAUAGAUGGACCUGCGCCGUAUUAGCUAGUUGGUAAGGUAACGGCUUACCAAGGCAACGAUACGUAGCCGACCUGAGAGGGUGAUCGGCCACACUGGAACUGAGACACGGUCCAGACUCCUACGGGAGGCAGCAGUAGGGAAUCUUCCGCAAUGGGCGAAAGCCUGACGGAGCAGCGCCGCGUGAGUGAUGAAGGUCUUCGGAUCGUAAAACUCUGUUAUUAGGGAAGAACAAACGUGUAAGUAACUGUGCACGUCUUGACGGUACCUAAUCAGAAAGCCACGGCUAACUACGUG
rnacentral:rRNA from 1 species